GGGUUGUGAGGUUAAGCGACUAAGCGUACACGGUGGAUGCCCUGGCAGUCAGAGGCGAUGAAGGACGUGCUAAUCUGCGAAAAGCGCCGGCGAGGUGAUAUGAACCUUUGACCCGGCGAUGUCCGAAUGGGGAAACCCAGUGUGAUCCGUCACACUAUCAUUAACUGAAUCCAUAGGUUAAUGAGGCGAACCGGGGGAACUGAAACAUCUAAGUACCCCGAGGAAAAGAAAUCAACCGAGAUUCCCCCAGUAGCGGCGAGCGAACGGGGAGGAGCCCAGAGUCUGAAUCAGCGCGUGUGUUAGUGGAACGGUCUGGAAAGUCCGGCGAUACAGGGUGACAGCCCCGUACACGAAAAUGCACACGCUGUGAACUCGAAGAGUAGGGCGGGACACGUGGUAUCCUGUCUGAAUAUGGGGGGACCAUCCUCCAAGGCUAAAUACUCCUGACUGACCGAUAGUGAACCAGUACCGUGAGGGAAAGGCGAAAAGAACCCCGGCGAGGGGAGUGAAAAAGAACCUGAAACCGUGUACGUACAAGCAGUGGGAGCCUCUUUAAUGGGGUGACUGCGUACCUUUUGUAUAAUGGGUCAGCGACUUAUAUUCUGUAGCAAGGUUAACCGAAUAGGGGAGCCGAAGGGAAACCGAGUCUUAACUGGGCGUUAAGUUGCAGGGUAUAGACCCGAAACCCGGUGAUCUAGCCAUGGGCAGGUUGAAGGUUGGGUAACACUAACUGGAGGACCGAACCGACUAAUGUUGAAAAAUUAGCGGAUGACUUGUGGCUGGGGGUGAAAGGCCAAUCAAACCGGGAGAUAGCUGGUUCUCCCCGAAAGCUAUUUAGGUAGCGCCUCGUGAACUCAUCUUCGGGGGUAGAGCACUGUUUCGGCUAGGGGGUCAUCCCGACUUACCAACCCGAUGCAAACUGCGAAUACCGAAGAAUGUUAUCACGGGAGACACACGGCGGGUGCUAACGUCCGUCGUGAAGAGGGAAACAACCCAGACCGCCAGCUAAGGUCCCAAAGUCAUGGUUAAGUGGGAAACGAUGUGGGAAGGCACAGACAGCCAGGAUGUUGGCUUAGAAGCAGCCAUCAUUUAAAGAAAGCGUAAUAGCUCACUGGUCGAGUCGGCCUGCGCGGAAGAUGUAACGGGGCUAAACCAUGCACCGAAGCUGCGGCAGCGACGCUUAGGCGUUGUUGGGUAGGGGAGCGUUCUGUAAGCCGUUGAAGGUGUGCUGUGAGGCAUGCUGGAGGUAUCAGAAGUGCGAAUGCUGACAUAAGUAACGAUAAAGCGGGUGAAAAGCCCGCUCGCCGGAAGACCAAGGGUUCCUGUCCAACGUUAAUCGGGGCAGGGUGAGUCGACCCCUAAGGCGAGGCCGAAAGGCGUAGUCGAUGGGAAACAGGUUAAUAUUCCUGUACUUGGUGUUACUGCGAAGGGGGGACGGAGAAGGCUAUGUCAUCCGGGCGACGGUCGUCCCGGUUUAAGCGUGUAGGUGUGUGUUCCAGGCAAAUCCGGAGCACUUCAACACUGAGGCGUGAUGACGAGGCACUACGGUGCUGAAGUGACAGAUGCCCUGCUUCCAGGAAAAGCCUCUAAGCAUCAGGUAACACGAAAUCGUACCCCAAACCGACACAGGUGGUCAGGUAGAGAAUACCAAGGCGCUUGAGAGAACUCGGGUGAAGGAACUAGGCAAAAUGGUGCCGUAACUUCGGGAGAAGGCACGCUGAUAUGUAGGUGAAGCCCCUGCGGGUGGAGCUGAAAUCAGUCGAAGAUACCAGCUGGCUGCAACUGUUUAUUAAAAACACAGCACUGUGCAAACACGAAAGUGGACGUAUACGGUGUGACGCCUGCCCGGUGCCGGAAGGUUAAUUGAUGGGGUUAUCCGUAAGGAGAAGCUCUUGAUCGAAGCCCCGGUAAACGGCGGCCGUAACUAUAACGGUCCUAAGGUAGCGAAAUUCCUUGUCGGGUAAGUUCCGACCUGCACGAAUGGCGUAAUGAUGGCCAGGCUGUCUCCACCCGAGACUCAGUGAAAUUGAACUCGCUGUGAAGAUGCAGUGUACCCGCGGCAAGACGGAAAGACCCCGUGAACCUUUACUAUAGCUUGACACUGAACAUUGAGCCUUGAUGUGUAGGAUAGGUGGGAGGCUUUGAAGUGUGGACGCCAGUCUGCAUGGAGCCAACCUUGAAAUACCACCCUUUAAUGUUUGAUGUUCUAACGUGGACCCGUGAUCCGGGUUGCGGACAGUGUCUGGUGGGUAGUUUGACUGGGGCGGUCUCCUCCCAAAGAGUAACGGAGGAGCACGAAGGUUGGCUAAUCCUGGUCGGACAUCAGGAGGUUAGUGCAAUGGCAUAAGCCAGCUUGACUGCGAGCGUGACGGCGCGAGCAGGUGCGAAAGCAGGUCAUAGUGAUCCGGUGGUUCUGAAUGGAAGGGCCAUCGCUCAACGGAUAAAAGGUACUCCGGGGAUAACAGGCUGAUACCGCCCAAGAGUUCAUAUCGACGGCGGUGUUUGGCACCUCGAUGUCGGCUCAUCACAUCCUGGGGCUGAAGUAGGUCCCAAGGGUAUGGCUGUUCGCCAUUUAAAGUGGUACGCGAGCUGGGUUUAGAACGUCGUGAGACAGUUCGGUCCCUAUCUGCCGUGGGCGCUGGAGAAUUGAGGGGGGCUGCUCCUAGUACGAGAGGACCGGAGUGGACGCAUCACUGGUGUUCGGGUUGUCAUGCCAAUGGCAUUGCCCGGUAGCUAAAUGCGGAAGAGAUAAGUGCUGAAAGCAUCUAAGCACGAAACUUGCCCCGAGAUGAGUUCUCCCUGACUCCUUGAGAGUCCUGAAGGAACGUUGAAGACGACGACGUUGAUAGGCCGGGUGUGUAAGCGCAGCGAUGCGUUGAGCUAACCGGUACUAAUGAACCGUGAGGCUUAACCUUACAACGCCGAAG
rnacentral:rRNA from 1 species